GAAGGAGAACUUUGAUUUCAGGCCCGGAAUGAUUUCCAUUAACCUCGAUCUACUGAGGGGUGGCAAUGGUCGAUUCUUGAAGACUGCUGCCUAUGGGCAUUUUGGUAGAGAUGAUCCUGACUUCACAUGGGAAGUAGUUAAGCCUCUCAAGUGGGACAAGCCUGAAGCUUAAACUGGAAUAUAAAUGUUUCAUCCCUUAUGUGACAAAGCUUACUAUAGGCUGCAUGUUGGCUUUUGUUUCGCCUUUUCUUUUGAUUUUUUAUUUCUUAUAUUUGUUCUUUUUUUAAUGUGGUUUUAGAAAUAUUGUUCUAAGUUUCUUGGAUAAGAUAAAGUUUGAGGAAUAUGAUAUCAUGGAUUGAGAUAUUAAAUCUUGC
rnacentral:misc_RNA from 1 species